rnacentral:rRNA from 2 species
UAGGGAAUCUUCGGCAAUGGACGAAAGUCUGACCGAGCAACGCCGCGUGAGUGAAGAAGGUUUUCGGAUCGUAAAACUCUGUUGUUAGAGAAGAACAAGGACGUUAGUAACUGAACGUCCCCUGACGGUAUCUAACCAGAAAGCCACGGCUAACUACGUGCCAGCAGCCGCGGUAAUACGUAGGUGGCAAGCGUUGUCCGGAUUUAUUGGGCGUAAAGCGAGCGCAGGCGGUUUCUUAAGUCUGAUGUGAAAGCCCCCGGCUCAACCGGGGAGGGUCAUUGGAAACUGGGAGACUUGAGUGCAGAAGAGGAGAGUGGAGUUCCAUGUGUAGCGGUGAAAUGCGUAGAUAUAUGGAGGAACACCAGUGGCGAAGGCGGCUCUCUGGUCUGUAACUGACGCUGAGGCUCGAAAGCGUGGGGAGCAAACAGG